AAGGCUCAACUAUGGUCACUCAUCGUUUGACUUUGCUUCUUGUUACUGUCAUCGGGAUCUUCUAUUCUCAGUUUUCUCCGUCUCCUCUCUUCUCCAAAACCCUAAACUACUCUUAAUUUGGGGUCGUUUCAUUCAUCCUUGUUCAGGUCGUGUCUUGCAGGUUGGCGCAACAACAAGUGAAAUCAAUGGCAGGAUCGAAUCAUCCCCCUCAACCUUCGCUACGGAUCUUACAACGCUGCAAACUCAAAUUGGUUGACUCUUUUUUUCGUGUGUCAUCAACCUUCUACGUCGUGCUAUGACUCAUGCUUCCUUCUCUCAAGAGCACAACAAAGCCCUCACUAUCUUUGGAACCCAUCUCAUUGAGACCUCCGUCUCUCUUAAGUCCCUCGCUAAAGAUAUCGACAUUUCCUCCAAAGUUUUGACCCGUUUGAUAGCAGAGGUUUCAAAUGUGAAUUCCUCUUGUGCCCUCGACGGACACCGGUUGGGUUUAGAGAGGGUUAUUAGGGUUUCUUCCAAGACUGAUGCUUCAAACUCGGCCAUCCUUUGUGCUGCCUUUAGAGCAUUCUUUGGAGCUGUUGCUACUGAUUCUGGAAUGGUUGAUGAGAGGCGAACAAGGUUUUCUUGAAAGUACAUGGAGAUCGAGUUGGAAGACUAGUGUCUGUGUUGUAAAUUAGUGGUGUUUUUCUUCCUUUGCCAAAAGUUCUAAGAGAUUCUUCUUUAAGGGCUGCUUAUAUGUUAAUAAUCUCAAGCUUUCUCUUUUAAUGUUGUGUUACGACCAAAACAUUAUACUAGUUGAUGUUAUGAAGAUGUAAGGAACCAGUUGUAUAGGCAGGCCCAAUGAAAGGUUUCAAGCUUCAACUAAA